CCUCCCGCUGUUGUCGUCUUCAAGUUCUGGCUGUCAUUGGUCCAUGGAGAAGGAAGAUACGACUGUUGGUGAUCCUGGAAUGAAGCAGCGGGCGUUCGGGUCCAGCGCACCACUUUCCUUGAGUUUGUCCUUGCAGGGUAGGCGACUGUCGGCAGUGUGAUGGGACGCGCUCGUUGUGGGAGGUCCGUCGGCUGCUCCGCUGGCCCGGCGCUCUCCGAGGCCUCAGAGAGGGAGGAGAGAGCGUGGGUUGCAGCAGCAAGUGUCAUUGACCUGAAUUAACUGAAGGACGCCCGAGUGUCCCGGGCCUGCUGGGCACAUCGUCAAUCGGUCGCAAGUUACUCCAGUCACAGUCACAGUCUCAGUGCGAUGCAAAUUAAUAGAGACGGGCUUGCAUUAUCCUGCUCCAGUGCUUUAAUGGUAUUUUUGAAAGCUGACGAUUACUGGAAUAAAAGCAAAAUAUUACAGAGCAACAAACAAUCUGCUGGAGGGAACUCGAUUGUGAAACCACAUCAACGAUUAAUUAAAUUCCCAGACAGAAAGGCCUCCCCUCAACCUAAUGCACAAGAGGUAUUCGGAAACAAAGGAGGCACUAUACACGUGUUAAAGUGCGUGAAGCUCUCAAGUCAAUGUCUGUGUCAAUCCAGAGACAGCAACCAACAACAACAAAUUCACUUUCUUCGGCCGCUGCCCCUAUUAGCCAAUUACCUGGCACACGUGACACUGUAGAAAUAGUAAGAGCUCUACCACAGAAAUACAGAAGACUACCAGUGUCACAAGAAGAAAUGGAGUACAUUCAGCGUGGUGGACCUGAGUAGAAUCGAUGACUUACUUCUGUCAUCCAUCAGUGCGUGUUUCUACCGUUUGGUGAUUUUGUUCAUUUCGAAGCUGUGGAUAUAAUUACAAGCUUUUGUAAGGACUUUAUACUACUGCACAGACGACAAGUCCUCAGAAUGAAUGUACAUACCGAAAUGUUCAAUAAACACUGAAGAGUUGUCACAACUUAUAAAAGCAGAAAUAUCCUGAUGUAUUCCCCAAAUUGUGUUCAGUGAUUUUCAUAAGAAAGAUUUGGUGAAGUUACAAGUGUUUAUACUGUUCUGUUAGUAAAAUUCAGUAAGCAAAUUAUUUUGUGCAUAAAUAUCUUCCAAAUUAUAAUUUGAUCAUGUUGAAUUUAACUGUAUUUUAAUUGCCAGGUGUCAAAUAUGUGGUUUCAAUACAUGUACGACACAGUCCUAGUUUUCAAGCAUUUUAAUAUAAUUUCAUAUAAUUAUUUUUACAAAUUAGGUAGAGAAUUUGGAUUACAUUUUUUCAAUAACUUGUCUGUAUCAUGAUGUGUCCAAAAAAUGCUAUUUACUCCACUAAUUUAAGAGCCCAAGGAACUAUUUACUUGGCAUAUUGUCAAUGGUCAAUUUAAAUGUAAAGGUUUAAGUGCCUAGCUCUGCUUAAAAUCCUACUUUUGCCGGGUGUUGCUAUAUUUUUGUUAGUAAGAUAAAAUUAAAUAUAUUGCUGAAUGAAACAGUAAAUUAUGGAGUUCAAGAGCAGAAUUAAACUAUGUUUGAAUAAAGAUUUGUAGCACAGUAAUGUGACAAUUAGGAAAGUAGAAAAUUAUGUACAUAAAACUUGAUAAUAGGAUAUUACCAUCAUAUGCAUGUGAAAUUGUUAAAGCAUCAAUCAACAGAGUGCAGAACUGAAAUGUACUUUUAAUGCGUGAUGGGAAAUAGCAAAAGCACUAUUGUACAUAAAUAUGCAUAUAAACUACAUAAUGUACUUUUACUGCCAUAUACAUUUGUUCAACAAAAAUAUCAGUACAAAUUAAGGAAUUUAAAUUGAUUAAAAUGACCUA